CAGCUCAUCCUCUCAUUCAACAAACAUUCCUGAGCAUCUGCUAUACUCCACACCCAAUUUUAAGGCACUGGGAAUGUAGCAGGUUCUACGGUCUGAGAUGGAAAAUGAACUUAAAAACAACAACAACAAACACUUUUGGGAGGUGGAAGAAGACUUUCUUUCCAAGGAACCAAAGCCAUCGCAUUAACCACAUUGCAGGGGGAGCUGUUUUUAAAGAUCUUUUUGAUUUUAUGUGGCCCUGGUUUAGCUCCUGGGCAAAUACGAUGUCUGCUCU
rnacentral:lncRNA from 13 species